rnacentral:piRNA from 1 species
UGCAAGAAGCAUUGUCAGAUAUGAAUGGACC